rnacentral:rRNA from 1 species
GGUAACAGGUCUUCGGAUGCUGACGAGUGGCGAACGGGUGAGUAAUACAUCGGAACGUGCCCGAUCGUGGGGGAUAACGAAGCGAAAGCUUUGCUAAUACCGCAUACGAUCUACGGAUGAAAGCAGGGGACCGCAAGGCCUUGCGCGAACGGAGCGGCCGAUGGCAGAUUAGGUAGUUGGUGGGGUAAAGGCUUACCAAGCCUACGAUCUGUAGCUGGUCUGAGAGGACGACCAGCCACACUGGGACUGAGACACGGCCCAGACUCCUACGGGAGGCAGCAGUGGGGAAUUUUGGACAAUGGGCGCAAGCCUGAUCCAGCAAUGCCGCGUGCAGGAUGAAGGCCUUCGGGUUGUAAACUGCUUUUGUACGGAACGAAAAGGCUCUGGUUAAUACCUGGGGCUCAUGACGGUACCGUAAGAAUAAGCACCGGCUAACUACGUGCCAGCAGCCGCGGUAAUACGUAGGGUGCGAGCGUUAAUCGGAAUUACUGGGCGUAAAGCGUGCGCAGGCGGUUAUGUAAGACAGAGGUGAAAUCCCCGGGCUCAACCUGGGAACUGCCUUUGUGACUGCAUAGCUAGAGUACGGCAGAGGGGGAUGGAAUUCCGCGUGUAGCAGUGAAAUGCGUAGAUAUGCGGAGGAACACCGAUGGCGAAGGCAAUCCCCUGGGCCUGUACUGACGCUCAUGCACGA